rnacentral:lncRNA from 10 species
AGCCAGGUGCCGGGACUUGGCGUCAGAAGACAGCUGUGAGGCUUUUCUCUGCCACCGGCAGUGAUGGGCAUGAACGCUAUCCUGAGAUUCCUGGAACAGAUGUAGUGUCAUAUGAAAGUAGCUGUGAUUUCUAACUGGUGACCAAGUACCAGAGAAUCUGACUCAGGUUCAUGAAAAAUCGGAACUUUCUCUGGUGCGAGCUUUGCUUAUAACUUUGGCAUAGGGGACCAGGAAAGUCUCACGGAUGCAAAGAGACAUCG